UGGCUGGGAAGCACAGACGAAUCCUUAAAGGCCCUAUCUUUUCCAGGAAACGCUCCUUUUCUGGGAAAGGUUGGCA
rnacentral:lncRNA from 12 species